UGCCCUCCGCAGGGGGAUAACCCGGAGAAAUCCGGACUAAUACCGCGUGGUACAUCUGUGGGGCAUCCCACGGGUGUUAAAAGGAAGCGAUUCCGGCGGAGGAUGGGCAUGCGGCGCAUUAGCUUGUUGGCGGGGUAACGGCCCACCAAGGCGACGAUGCGUAGGGGUUCUGAGAGGAAGGUCCCCCACACUGGUACUGAGACACGGACCAGACUCCUACGGGAGGCAGCAGUGAGGAAUAUUGGUCAAUGGGCGGGAGCCUGAACCAGCCAAGUCGCGUGAGGGAAGACGGUCCUAUGGAUUGUAAACCUCUUUAGGCGGGGAGCAAUGCCGGGCACGCGUGCCCGGAGGGAGAGUACCCGCAAAAUAAGCAUCGGCUAACUCCGUGCCAGCAGCCGCGGUAAUACGGAGGAUGCGAGCGUUAUCCGGAUUUAUUGGGUUUAAAGGGUGCGUGGGCGGAUUUUUAAGUCAGCGGUAAAAUGUCCGGGCUCAACCCGGGCCGGCCGUU
rnacentral:rRNA from 1 species